ACUAACACUUAAAGAGCCUGAAUUACCUUUCAGAGAUGCAUGUUUUUGUCUUUGACUGCAGAUGGAGUUUAAGAUGCUUCUGUUCCUAAAUUAGGUGCCACAAUUAUAAGCAGAGCAUAGCUGGAGAAGAAACUGAGACCUCAUCCAUGAGGACUGUAUUCAGACAGCUGAGACCACACCAGACCUCUUAUCUAUGGCACACCAAUGCUGGAAACUGAAACCGUCUUCUGAGAACACAUUAAGUCCAAACUCCUUCAUAUCAAACACUGCUCAUCCUUUACCUGACUAUUAAUUAAAAGAACUAAUUCUGCACUUCAGAAUAAAGGCAGAGAACAAGCAGGUAAGUACUGUGCCCAGGCAAUUGCAACAGACAAACAAAUGAAAACAGUCAUGAUCCCCAAAUGUGACUUGUUUUAAAGCAAAUUAAUGUUGACACUCAAAAAGUCCCUGUAUUUAUACUCAUGUCACUAAAUGAUCCUACAACACAGCUUUGAGUUCCAUGACACAAAAAUCACUACAACAUGCAGAUUAAGGUGCAGGGCUGGAUCUGAGUUUUGGGAUUCUUCUAAUGACAUCUAAUGGAGGGGCAGGUCCUGGUUCUGGGCUUCAGUCCACAAACAGGCCAUGUCCUAGUGCCACUUUAUUUUUCCACUUGGACAGAAAAAAAGGCAAGUCUAAUUGUAGGUGUAAUUGAAGCCUUCCACCCAUCAGGUCAAUGCUCGCUGCUCUAUAGUAAUUUUUCAUGAUCUGUAAGGCAGAGGCAAGAGACAAGAGGGAUUAACCAAAACCCGCUCAUAACUAAGGUAAGUGCUGAUACAAAGAACUGAAAAAUCAGGUGAAAAUUAACCAAAUAGCUGGGGCAAACAGCAUUAUGUCCUUGAAGCAAAUAAGCAUUCAUCUAGCAUCUAUUCCAUCUUCAUAGUCUAUGAAUAAUUAUCUCCCACUAGAGUUUUGAACCUCAAAUUACUAUAUUUCAUUAAACCUUCUCAGACUUUAGUAUAAAUACCACUGUAGAAAUAGGAUGCCUUUCCUCUGGGAGAGGUAUUAGUCUUGAGGAGGUCACAUUGAUAAGUAGAAGUCACUUUGAAAAAGAACUUAUACAUUGGUUGAGGCAAGACAGCAGACAGCAGUCAGCAUGUAGGACAUGGAUCCUAAAUGGCUGCAAUGUACUCAAAAGGUUACAACUGCACAAAAUGAAACAACAGUGCACACAGCACACCCAAACUGUGAAGCAGGCACAGAGGAUGCUGCAGUACAGAUGGCUGCUUUAAAAGAUGUAAAUGCAAACAAAACACCCUACUGUCUAGGACAUGAUGUUCUUGAGUGUGUGAUGUCUAGUGCGACAUCUUUAAAAAUAUAUCAUUUUUUUAGGUACGAAAGAUGAUAUGUAAUUAUUUCUUCACGGCUCUGCAGCAGGUCCAACAUCCUUCCUUCUUUGUGUGAAAAAUCUAUUACAAUCGACUCUGAGCCUCCAUAAUUGUUCUCCAUUAGUAAUGAUUUACAUGAUAUUACAGCUGUCACUGAAUGUCAAGGAAACAUCGUGAGGAAUGAAGAAUUCAGUUUUCUGAUCUGACAAUGGCACCAGGACAGGGUGGAACAAUCUGUCACUCUACUUGGAAACUCGAUAACGUGAUGCUUUUAAUUCACACAGCUUCAGGGCUUCUUAAAAAACCCAAAGUUAAUUUUCAUAAAAGGUAUUUCUGAGGAUUACAUGCCAAACCUGGGUUUUGGUUCUGCAGGCCUGAAAACAGCCAGAAAGAGAAUAGGCCUCCAAUUUCCAGCUGCAAGCCUGGAGGAGAAACAGGUGCUGGAAUUGAGGCUGCCUCCCACACCACUGAUGCUGUUGGAAGAGCGUGGCACACUGGUAUAUGACAUAGCAAACUGGCAGAGCAGCACAGAGUGAAAACAUCAUGGCUGUAUACAUGCCUGUGAGACACUGGACCCAAAAGAGAUGUCGUAUAAGCAUCCUCUCAUCAAAGGAGUUGUUCUAGGUUAAGCUGGAUAGACCUGAGUCUGGGUACAAGAACCCAGACCACAGGUACAGCCUCUUGGUGGGUGUGACUGAUGCAGCUGCUUAUGGUGGUAAUGACAACAGACUUGUUAAGAGUGUCUUCUCAAGACCUAGAGACCCAAGCUAUGUCCUGCAUUUCUGCAUCUGACAAAUAUAGUCAAAGUCACUAUGUAGUCACUGACUUUUAAUUAGGAAGAUUAAGAUUCAGAAAGAAAUACAUAUCAGAGUAGUUCACAAUGCCAUUUAGACAUGGAAACUGAAGUUUGGAAAAUCAUAAAAGGUAUGAAGAAUGUACUGGCUGACACAAUUGGACCACUGCUUUUAAAAUUGUUCCUAAAGCAAAUUUAUGAAAGCAUAAGUGAACUUAAAAAGGAAUAAGAUCAAUUGGAAAUCCGCCCUGGGCAGAUUUGGUUUCAUUUUGAAUAAUCCAUCUUUCUUCCAAACACAAGCCUCAUUGAUUAUCACUACAGAGGAAAUCUGUUUUCCUUUAAAAAGUAAUUAAGAGUAAGUUGGUUUGUGUUUACUUCUCCGUAGCCAAAUCUCCACAUCAUACAACAACCACUAUCAUUUACACUAUUAUGUGAACCUCUCAGGGUGAUUAAUAGGGAAUUUUGAGGGCUCUGCUGGCCCAGAGGAUGAUGCUCUGUUAUUCCUGAGGAUCACACUGAAGAUCAGGACAGAACCACUCAGAGGGAGCUAAAAGGGAACAGCUGCAGCCACAAUGACCACACUGUGACUGAACAGAGCAAUUCAAUCCUAACAGCUCCAUGCUGUCUGUAACAAGCUAUCAAGAGCAGCACAUCCUACUUGGAAAAAAUAUUCAUCUGUCAAGUAGUAAUUUUUCAAAUAAGAUUAAAGAAGCAGUUCUCAGAGGCUUCAGACUAUAGCAAAUGUUGUUUGUCCCUAACAAUCAAAGUGGGGAAAAUCCUGGGAUACUAUUCUGUACUGGGGAGGGAGACCAAGAGAAAAGCAGAAGGCUGUUUUAAGGUGUAAUUCAUUAUAGAUUAAAAAAACCCAAACCACUCCCCCAAUUAACAAAAUACAAAAAUUAUAAGCCUCCAACAUAGUAGAGCAUAUCCUUAAUGCUUUAGCAUGUGGAAGGAGAAUACCAUUUAUGCAGAAUAAGGAAACUGCCCAAAACC